AUUGAACGCUGGCGGCAUGCCUUACACAUGCAAGUCGAACGGCAGCACGGGUGCUUGCACCUGGUGGCGAGUGGCGAACGGGUGAGUAAUACAUCGGAACAUGUCCUGUAGUGGGGGAUAGCCCGGCGAAAGCCGGAUUAAUACCGCAUACGAUCUACGGAUGCAAGCGGGGGACCUUCGGGCCUCGCGCUAUAGGGUUGGCCGAUGGCUGAUUAGCUAGUUGGUGGGGUAAAGGCCUACCAAGGCGACGAUCAGUAGCUGGUCUGAGAGGACGACCAGCCACACUGGGACUGAGACACGGCCCAGACUCCUACGGGAGGCAGCAGUGGGGAAUUUUGGACAAUGGGCGAAAGCCUGAUCCAGCAAUGCCGCGUGUGUGAAGAAGGCCUUCGGGUUGUAAAGCACUUUUGUCCGGAAAGAAAACCUUGGCUCUAAUACAGUCGGGGGAUGACGGUACCGGAAGAAUAAGCACCGGCUAACUACGUG
rnacentral:rRNA from 1 species